GAAAUGCGAUAAGUAGUGUGAAUUGCAGAAUUCAGUGAAUCAUCGAAUCUUUGAACGCACAUUGCGCCCCUUGGUAUUCCAUGGGGCAUGCCUGUUCGAGCGUCAUUUGUACCCUCAAGCUCUGCUUGGUGUUGGGUGUUUGUCCCCGUCUCCGCGCGUGGACUCGCCCCAAAGUGAUUGGCAGCCGGCGUACUGGUCCCGGAGCGCAGCACAUGUCGCGCAAACGAGUGCCUUGGUACGGCGGCGUCCAUAAGCCCCUCUCUCACGCUCUUGACCUCGGAUCAGGUAGGGAUACCUGCUGAACUUAAGC
rnacentral:misc_RNA from 1 species